rfam:Ictidomys tridecemlineatus contig010042, whole genome shotgun sequence.
GGGGUUGUGGCUCAGUGGUAGAGCGCUUGCCUAGCAUGUGUGAGGCACUGGGUUCAAUUCUCAGCACCA